GCCGGCCCGGGCCUCCGCCUCCUCCGCCUCAUCCUGACAGCGGCCGCCGCCGGCGGGAGGAGGAGGAGGAGGAGGACGAGGAGGAGGAGGAGGAGCGCCGCGCAGGCGCCCACGGUAUUUGGAGAACCCAGAGCUGCAGAUUGUUCACAGAAUUCCUGGCUUGGUGACAAAAUGGUCAAAGAACUAACUAUCACUUGAGGUGAAGCCCAGAGAAACAGAAGUUGCACACAUCUUUAAGGUGGGACUCAGCUGCUCAUGACAGCAAGCCUUGGGUUCAUUCAAAAGGCAAGUAAUGGACUUGUCCUUCUAGGAAAAGAGGAAAACCAGAAUUUAUUGUUUGCACUUUAUAUGUUUGUAGGCUUGCCAGAGUUUGUCUACUGUUUUUCUCACUUUUUUAUUUGUUUAAAAUAAAAAACUGUUCA